ensembl:lncRNA
UCUGGAACGUUUGACAGCUAAACGGUUUGGCACUGAGGCAGAGCAGGUACUCAGGCAUCAGACUGGGUAAGAGAGGCUUGAGUUUGAUAUGAAACCACAAGGUGACAAACGCCGUGUCCGUCAGGUCAGCGUGUGCUGGGUCAUGGAUCCGUUCUAGAAUGUUUCUAAAAGGGGAAUCUGCUGAACUAAAGUUCUGGAAGAAAGCAGGACAUUAACCAUACUUUUAGUCAGUUAUUAGUAUAGAGUGUCAGUAGUGUUAUAGUGGUAUGUCAGUAGUGUUACAGCAGUGUGUCAGUAGAGUUACAGCAGUGUGUCAGUAGAGUUACAGCGGUGUGUCAGUAGAGUUACAGCGGUGUGUCAGUAGAGUUACAGUGGUGUGUCAGUAGUGUUACAGCGGUGUGUCAGUAAGAGUUACAGCGGUGUGUCAGUAGAGUUACAGUGGUGUGUCAGUAAUGUUACAGUGGUGUGUCAGUAGAGUUACAGUGGUGUGUCAGUAGAGUUACAGUGGUGUGUCAGUAGAGUUUCAGUGGUGUGUCAGUAGAGUUACAAUGGUGUGUCAGUAGAGUUACAGUGGUGUGUCAGUAGAGUUUCAGUGGUGUGUCAGUAAAGUUUCAGUGGUGUGUCAGUAAUGUUACAGUGGUGUGUCAGUAGAGUUACAGUGGUGUGUCAGUAAUGUUACAGUGGUGUGUCAGUAGAGUUACAGUGGUGUGUCAGUAGAGUUACAGUGGUGUGUCAGUAAUGUUACAGUGGUGUGUCAGUAGAGUUUCAGUGGUGUGUCAGUAGAGUUUCAGUGGUGUGUCAGUAGAGUUUCAGUGGUGUGUCAGUAGAGUUUCAGUGGUGUGUCAGUGGUGUUACAGUGUACGCACUGUGUGGGCAAGCUGGUUCAGAAGUGUGUUGAGGUUGCUGGAGAGGUGCAGUACGAGACUGUUGACUGUUUCCCCUGUGAGCAUCAGAUUAGUGCUCUCCACACACUGCAGGAUUUUUGCCACAUUCUCCAUCACAUUAGUCACCUGGAACAACAUAACAGCACGUCACAUACAGUGCUGUGGAAAAGUAUUUGCCCCAUCCUGAUUUCUUCUGUUUUGUGUAUAUCUCACAUUAAAUUGUUUUAGAUCUUCAAACGAAAUACAACAUAAAUCAAAGACAACUGGAGUAAACACACAAUACAGUUUUUAUUUAUUGAAGCAACAAAAGUUAUCCAACACCUAUCAUCCAUUUGAAAAAUGAAUUGCCCCCUUAAACUUUAAAUCUGUCUGUGCCACCUUUAGCAGCAAUAACUGCAACCAAACUCUUCCAAUAACUGGAGAUCAGCCUUUCACAGCGCUGUGGUGGAAUUUUGGCCCACUCUUCUUUUUCAGAACUGCUUUAGUGCAGCCACACUGGAGGGUUUUCGAGCAUGAACUGAAGGUUUAAGGUCCUGCCACAGCAUUUCAAAUUUUUUUUUUUUAGCCAUUCAGAGGUGGUCUUACUUCUACGCUUUGGAUCACUGUCUUGCUGCAUAAUCCAGUUGUGCUGGAGUUUAAAUUUACAGACUGAAGACUGGACAGUCUCCUUUAGGAUUUUCUGCUAGAGAGCAGAAUUCAUGUUUCCCUCAAUUACUGCACGUUGCCCAGACCCUGAAGCAGCAGCGCAUCCCCACACCAUCACACUUCCUCCACCACGCUUGACCGUAGGUAUGAUGAUCUUUUUGUGGAGUUCGGUGUUUGGUUUACUCCAGAUGUGACGGGACUCCUGUCUUCCAAACAGUUCCACUUUCACCUCAUCAGUCCACAGAACAUUCUCCCAAAAGCUUUGAGGAUCAUCAAGGAGUGUUUUGGUGAAAUUCAGACGAGUCUUAAUGUUCUUCUGGGUUAGCAGUGGUUUUCACCUCACCACUCUUCCAUGGAGCCGUGUUCCCCCAGUGUCUUUCUGAUAGUGGAGUCAUAAACAGUGACUUUAUUGAUGAGAGAGGCCUGUAGGUCCUUUGAUGUUGUUCUGGAUGAGUAGAUCGGAUUCACUACUAUGCUGAGUUUUUCCAUUUGGAGAUAACAGCUCUCGCUGUGGUUCUUUGGAGUCCCAGAGCCUCUGAAAUAGCUUUGUCACCCUUCCCAGACUGAUGUAUUUCAAUCUCCUUCUUCCUCAUCAUUUCUAGAAUUUCUUUCAACUUUGCCAGAGUGUGUUACUACGUAAGAUCUUUUAACCAACUCCAUGCUGUUGAAAAACAUUUAUUUAAGUGUAGAUGUGAUUGAACAGGGUUUGCAGUAAUCAGGUCAGGUUGUGUCUCGUCCAGCUGAGCCCCAUUAUCAAUGCACUUUCAUAGAUUUGGGGAAUUAGUAACUACGGGGGCAAAUACAUUUUCACACAGGCCCAAUUAGUAUUGGAUAACUUAUUUGCUUCAAUAAAUAACAUUAUUAUCAUUUAUAAACUGUAUUUUGUGUUUACUCAAAUUGCCUUUAUUUUAUCUGAGAUAUAAC